GGCCUCCUGGUGCUUACCACAGGCUGUGUUCUUACACUAACUGUAUAGAAAGAGGAGAAAAAGUAAACCUACCCCAUAUACACCUCAGCCCAGGCCCUGUGCCUGGUCUGUAUUGUGACUGGGAAGCCAUGG
ensembl:snoRNA